CCUGACUUUUUGCUUGAUUCCUUUUCUUUUCUGCUGUUGAAUUCCUUUGUCUCAUUAAGUCAAUCUACAAGAAAUGGAUCAAGAGAGAUAAAGAUGGAAAGGGAGGUACACAUAAAGGAGUAUGAAAAGGAGAGGAUUGAGGAGGAGGACAAAGAAAGGAAGAGUAGGAGGAGAAGAAACAGAGCAGGAGGGGAGCCAUUGGGACUAUGGCAAAGAGACAAGUUCUAUUAGAACACCAAUUACAGCGAUCACUAGUAACAGAAGGAGGACUUCCAUGCCACCUGCGCUGGAGGAAGAAUUGUGUAGAGGAGUGACAGGAGGGGGAGGGAUAGAAAAGUGAAAGGGAAAGCAGAGAGGUCAUAGAUAGGAGGGAAGAGGCAGGAAGAAAAGAAAGGAAGGGGGAGAAAAGAGGAGAGAAUGAUGGAGGGGAGAGGGAAGAAUGAGAGUUGCAGGGAUAUCUGCUUGACUGUGAGUCUGCUUUUUCUCUUCCAGAACUGGAAUUUUCACAUUGACAUCUUUUGAAUUAAAUGAAAUGUCAUGGUGCCCCAGGAGGGGCUUUGAUCCCAAUGAACAGGACUCACCUCUCAUUUGUGUGCUUACCUGUGUACAAGAAGUCAAGGCCAUGUUCCCAGAUCCACCUCUGACAACUUGACUUUGUUACUUCACAAUGGAAGGUGUCUGAGAAUAUUGUUUGAUAUCAGCUUGACAUAGGAGGUGCUGGGUUAAAGGAAGGGCAUGGACCAGAUGUUAAUGGAACCAGAGGAAAUAUUCUGGACAUCACGUGUGGAGAAGAUGGAUCCUGGGAGCUGCUGGAGCCAGAAGGACCAGCAGGGAAGAGGAGACGGAUAUAGACAACUAAUGGAGCGAGGAAGACCCAUGAUGUAGAGAGUAUUGAUCCAAGAAUCCAGUGGAAUCUGGAGGACCAGAGAUGGCAUCAUCAUAUCAUCUCAGUGCCUGAAAGGUUUGGGACAGUAUCUCCAGGAAGACUAAAAAUAAGCUUAAGGAUCAGAAAGAUGGUAUCCUGCAUGGGUAGAAAAUGGCUCUGCCAGAAGCCAUAUGCCUGCUCAAUUCCAAGUGCCUGAUGUGUGUGUAAGUCUCAGGAGAUGUUGGCCAAGGAGAUCUUCAAGACAUCCCGAAAUGUUAAGGCUAUUUAAUCCUUGGGUUAGUUAUAAGCCAAUAUUAGAUAAUUAUCCUACUGAUUGAGUUGCAGGAUAUCAGGAAUUCAGAAUUCCUCUGAGCUGGAAUUGGAAUGCCCCUCUCUGAUAGCAGGCUGGCUUCAUAAAACAAACAU